UGUGCUCUUCCUGAUCUGGGGAUUGUCCCCAGGUGGGGGAAGCAGGGGAGAGAAAAUGACAGCCACUUUUACAUUGUUUUGUACAGUGCUUAUUGAUUCAGCUAACACAAAAUU